AGUGAACGCUGGCGGCAGGCCUAACACAUGCAAGUCGAACGAACCUACCGGGAGUAGUGGCGGAUGCGGGUGUCACACGUCGGAAGGUUCCUUUAUGUAUGGAAUACCUCUGGGACACGUGUGCUAACGCCGAAUGUGCCCUUCUAGGGCAGGAUUUAUCGCCCUUAGAGCGGCCCGCGUUGGAUUAGCUAGUUGGGUGAGGUAAUGGCUCACCAAGGCGACGAUCAGUAGCUGGUCUGAGAGGAUGAUCAGCAACAUUCGGACUGAGACACGGCCCAAACUCCUACGGGAGGGAGGAGUGGGGAAUCUUGCGCAAUCGGCGAAGGGAUGACGGAGCCAGGCUGGGUGAAUGAUGAAGGUCUUAGGAUUGUAAAAUUCUUUCACCGGGGACGGUAAUGACGGUACCCGAAGAAGAAGCCCCGGCUAACUUCGUG
rnacentral:rRNA from 1 species